CUCCAAUCAUAUAUAUACUAAGC
rnacentral:snRNA from 1 species